rnacentral:rRNA from 1 species
UACGUAGGGUGCAAGCGUUAAUCGGAAUUACUGGGCGUAAAGCGUGCGCAGGCGGCUUUGCAAGACAGAUGUGAAAUCCCCGGGCUUAACCUGGGAACUGCAUUUGUGACUGCAAGGCUGGAGUGCGGCAGAGGGGGAUGGAAUUCCACGUGUAGCGGUGAAAUGCGUAGAUAUCUGGAGGAAUACCGGUGGCGAAGGCGGCAGCCUGGACCGACAUUGACGCUGAACGGCGAAAGUUAGGGGAGCAAACGGG